rnacentral:rRNA from 1 species
AUUGAACGCUAGCGGCAUGCCUUACACAUGCAAGUCGAACGAGUGGCGGACGGGUGAGUAAUAUACCGGAACAAGUCCAGUAGCGGGGGAUAAAUACUCGAAAGAGUGGCUAUUACCGCACACUAUUGGAGCGGUCGCUAUUGGAUUAGCUAGUGGGUGGGGUAAAGGCUCACCAAGGCAACGACCCGUAGCUGGUUUGAGAGGACGACCAGCCACACUGGGACGUAGACACGGCCCAGACUCCGACGGGAGGCAGCAGUGGGGAAUUUUGGACAAUGGGGGAAACCCUGAUCCAGCCAUCCCGCGUGUAUGAGAAGGCCUUCGGGUUGUAAAGUACUUUUGGCGGAGAAGCGGUAUCUGCAGAAUAAGCACCGGCUAACUACGUGCCAGCCGCCGCGGUAAUAC